UUGAACGCUGGCGGCAGGCCUAACACAUGCAAGUCGAACGGUAACAGGAAGAAGCUUGCUUCUUUGCUGACGAGUGGCGGACGGGUGAGUAAUGUCUGGGAAACUGCCUGAUGGAGGGGGAUAACUACUGGAAACGGUAGCUAAUACCGCAUAACGUCGCAAGACCAAAGAGGGGGACCUUCGGGCCUCUUGCCAUCGGAUGUGCCCAGAUGGGAUUAGCUAGUAGGUGGGGUAACGGCUCACCUAGGCGACGAUCCCUAGCUGGUCUGAGAGGAUGACCAGCCACACUGGAACUGAGACACGGUCCAGACUCCUACGGGAGGCAGCAGUGGGGAAUAUUGCACAAUGGGCGCAAGCCUAAUGCAGCCAUGCCGCGUGUAUGAAGAAGGCCUUCGGGUUGUAAAGUACUUUCAGCGGGGAGGAAGGGAGUAAAGUUAAUACCUUUACUCAUUGACGUUACCCGCAGAAGAAGCACCGGCUAACUCCGUG
rnacentral:rRNA from 1 species